rnacentral:lncRNA from 1 species
AUUUGAUUAUUUUGCCCUUCAGUUCUGAGUUUGUGCACCAAGCACUUGAUCCAAACUCUGUUGAAGUUAAUGGAAGACUGCAGUUAAUUUCAAUUGGCUUUGAAUCAGGCUCCGCAGGAAUAUCAGAUUCAUUUUUCAUGAACUGGCAGGUACUAUGGUGACUCGUCCUCAGUGCCCAUCCAGUGUGCCUUAAACCCUGUUCUGGAGGAACCACUUCUAGAAACAAGAGACUAGUUCAUUGAGACGUGUCCAUUCCAAGAUUGGCCUCUCUGCUAAGACUGUCAAUAAGAGCAAAUUGCAAUGGAAGAUUUUAUUGAUGUGGCAAUGGACUAGCACCACGGAUUUACUUAACACUAGAUGCUAAACAGUCAUCAGAUGGCAAUGACUUGCAGUCGCUACUGACCUGGCCAGAUUUGAAUAGGUAAAAUAAAGAUGAAAACGCUGGAAUGUUUUAUCA